rnacentral:tRNA from 4 species
GCUCUUAUAGCUUAGUGGUAGAGCAGAUGACUGUUAAUCAUCAGGUCGGUGGUUCAAAUCCAUCUAAGAGCGC